UAGAAACCAAGUGUAUUGCUUUAGCUGUAAGCCAGAGUGGUUAAUAUAUAUACAAUGUAUUUGUUAUUUAGUACUGCUAAUUUGAUCUGAAUUUCACUCACUGUAUGCUUAUCCUGAAGUCAAUAGCAGAGAAUUUCCAUCCUUGCAGGGAUCCACUGGACACACGGAAUAAGGACAGAAGUUUAUCUCCUUGUAUAACCUCCCGCUUAUAAUUACUGAGCAAAAUAACAGCAGCAAGAUAUGACAAAAGUUGAAAACGAGGGCUUGCUGCAGGGACUGCUGUGCAUUUUCUGACCCGUUCACAGGGACAGGAUUUGGUAUUAGGGCUGUGGACAUUCUGUGUUACCUUUCACAUAAGACACACAGUUGUUCAAGUCACCUUCUGCUCAUCUUCUCUAUUGCCACAGCUACCUGGCGGGCACAAGGCAGGCUUGAAUGAUUCAGAGCAGGGUCAAAUCCUUGGCCAUGUUCAUGGAGCAUCAAGAGACACAGAAAUAAGAGUAACAGGAAUGCGUCUCAGAACUGUUCAUUUGCUUGAGGAUGUAAAUUCACUUCUGCUAUUGACGAAUUUGCCCCAUUCUGCAACAGGUAAAUAAAACCCAAAACCUUACAAACAAUGUGACAAAAUAAAAAUGAAGCCAAAUAUUUGUAUGCUUACA
rnacentral:lncRNA from 1 species